CCUGGACCUCGGGGCUGCUUUCUCCUGGGCCCAGCUGUCCCCGCCCCAGCCUGGCCUGGGCGGAGUGGGCUUCUGCUUCCACACUGCAGCCCUUCGUGUCCCCCCUCCCCGGGGGCUCCAGGGGAGCACUUCUGGGCCCAGGUCUGGGGGGCUUCCCAAGGCUGGGGGGAGGAGUAGGGACCCGGGAGCCCUCCCAGGCUGCGGUGCGUUUUCUCCAGGUGACCUGGGAGGCCCCACGGCCUGGGCUGGGAGGCCGGACCUGGGUGGCCAAAGGAAGCCUUAGUGAGGUGGCACUCGGGGGCCCAGAACCGGGGGCGCGGCGGUCCUGGGGAAGCCCCUAGGUAGUCGGGCAGGCGGCUGGUGGCCCUCUGCUCAUCCUUCAGGGCAGCACACUGGGGUCUGCGGUUCUGAUACCACCUGGCCCCCUCCCCGUUAAAGACAUGGGGCAACUCUGCAGGGAGCUGGCCGUCUACCCCGGGGUGGGGGGGGCAGGCCUCCAGGCCCCGUGGGGGACAGGCCAGGAAGGGCCCCCAGCCGACGCCCACAGUACAAGGAGGAGCCGCAGCUUGGCGUGACCUGGAGGGAGAGGGAUGGAGGGCGCCCCAGCUGGGACCUGCCUGCUUGUGCCCCGUGUCCACUUGGGUUCAGUGGAGACUGAAAGGCCCCAGGGUCUGAUCGACCGGAAGACAGGCGCCCCUUCCUGGGCUCAGGCCUAGAUGGUGGCUGGAGAGGAGGGGUUCUGGGGUGGCCAGGCGAGCGAGUCCUUUAUCUUACGAUGUCAUCUGUUUGGGGAGGGGCGCCAAAGGACUAACGGGUACACAGAGAAAUAGAGAAAUAUGCCAAGCUGUUUUUUUCUUUUUAAAUCAGGCAUUUAUAAACAAGAAAGCAUACAUUAAUUACAUAAAAAUAGUUUUCGAAUAGUGAGUAAGUCAUCAUAUUGUCAUUAGCAGCAGCAAAGGAGAGAAGGGGACGGUGAUGCAGACGCUCCUGGCGGGUACGAGGGUGGAGCUGUGGUUUUUUUCCUUAAUUGAAAAAAAAAGUGUCAUUUGUGACUCCUGACUUAAAGCAAGAACAAGAUGGCCUCCCCGAGCCUGGUGGGCGCGGCGGGCGGUGUCGCCCAGAAAACCGGCUCGAGCCGGUGGGCAUGUUCUGCCUCAGGUAGAAAUAACCCAGAAAACAAGACAGCUACCAGGUAAGAAGAGAGAUCCGGCAAAGGACCCACCACGUAUACGUAUGAUACACGAGUAUCAGAGGAAAAAGUAUUUACAUGGUCGCUUUGUACAUCGGCGAGUUCUGUACGAAAAGCAAGAUAUCAUGUGAGUGAGUUAGCUGCUCCAUAGAUAUGAAUGUUAUUGCUGUUGUUUUUUCCCUUCGUUAAAAGUCUUCUUUCAGCAUAGAAAUAAUGAGUGAUUAAACUGAAUACACGAUCAUUUCGAUAAUGGGUAUUACACACGGGGAGAGUCAACAGCCUACGGGAGAGUGCCUCUUCAGCAAAGAAACUCCAACUGCAGCCGCACGGCAGGAGCCCGGGGACCCUGCCCCCGAGGACAAGCGUGGACAGGCCCAUGGCCGGCCUCGCCCAGGGGCCGCCAACGGCGCUGGCAGGCCAAGGGACCUCGGGGCGGGCCUGAGUCCACCACCCCACCUCCAGCUCUUCCCGACAUCUGGGGACCAAGCCGGACAGUGGCGGCGUAGACCCGAUGGCCGAGACGUGCGGGUGACCGGAGGGGACAGAGCGCGGGCAAGGAGGCGCAGCGGCCCCCACUCGCAACUUGGAAAAAUGUAUCUCCCUCUGGAGCCUAAAAACUCAGAAAGUAAACGGAGCAAAGCAGGUGGCCUCGGGCGGGUCCCGGGGGCCCUGCGAUCUCACUACGGAUUUUCAGACUUGGCAACAGAGCACAGCCGCACAGAAGCACACUGACACACGCUUCACGCUUUGCUCCAACUACAUCAUUUACUUUCCCUUGAAGAAAUGACCGCAAAAACACAACUCUGGAAAAACAAAGCUAAACACAGCAUUCUGAGUGUUGCGUGACACAACCGACCCUCUACACGACACGGUAAUAAUGCCCAUCGGUGGAUAUACGUAUGGCAGAGGUUUUAAAUUCCAUGCAUACAGAUUUAAUAACUGCAAAGAAAAACAGAAGCAAAAAAAUUAAAAAACAAAAAAGAAACAAAAAACAAACAACAACAACCAAACAAACGCUGCAUAUACACGAUGUCCCUUUUGCAUUGCACUUUAGAAGGGAGGCCGGCCGCACCCGGCCCCCACCCAGUAAACCAAGGGCAAAACCCCACCGACGAUGCCGUCACCCGGUCUCCGCUCCACUCGGCGGUUGCGGCACCACCCCCGGCCACGCUCGCAGCUGCCGGGGUGCUGGAACGGACUCGGGCAGAGGGUUCUGCCUCAGUCCCCAAACAGAAGGAGCAAGGUUUGCCGAAUUGAGAGGGUUGCCUGGUCGAGGGCGCGUGUGCCCAGCCAGCGCGGACCCAUCUCCCGUCGCCUCCAAGCACACCUGCGGACACACCUGUGGAAGGCGGGCCGGAGCGGCGGGCGGGUAAGGCGGCAGUGUUCCAGCUCAUCGUGCCUGCGUGGUGCUCUCCGUGCCCUUCCCGGUGGCAGCACAGGAGACGGGGUUCCUUGUGGCUGAAAAAAUAGACUCUGGAGAAAAACCCUUUGUGUUGUCACGCGGCCGCGGGCGCGGGAUGAGCUGUGAUGGCUUCGAGGGGCAGGGCGGCUGCCACCCUGGCUCCCUUGCGGGUCCUCAGGUGGCGUCACGUGUGGGUGGGGCUUUUAAAAGUUAGUCAUUAAAAAACAUGUUGAUUUCUUCGAA